UCCAGAACUUUGAUCAUGGCUCAGGACGAACGCUGGCGGCGCGCCUAACACAUGCAAGUCGAACGAGCGAGAGAGAGCUUGCUUUCUCGAGCGAGUGGCGAACGGGUGAGUAACGCGUGAGGAACCUGCCUCAAAGAGGGGGACAACAGUUGGAAACGACUGCUAAUACCGCAUAAGCCCACGACCCGGCAUCGGGUAGAGGGAAAAGGAGCAAUCCGCUUUGAGAUGGCCUCGCGUCCGAUUAGCUAGUUGGUGAGGUAAUGGCCCACCAAGGCGACGAUCGGUAGCCGGACUGAGAGGUUGAACGGCCACAUUGGGACUGAGACACGGCCCAGACUCCUACGGGAGGCAGCAGUGGGGAAUAUUGCACAAUGGGGGAAACCCUGAUGCAGCGACGCCGCGUGGAGGAAGAAGGUCUUCGGAUUGUAAACUCCUGUUGUUGAGGAAGAUAAUGACGGUACUCAACAAGGAAGUGACGGCUAACUACGUGCCAGCAGCCGCGGUAAAACGUAGGUCACAAGCGUUGUCCGGAAUUACUGGGUGUAAAGGGAGCGCAGGCGGGAAGACAAGUUGGAAGUGAAAUCCAUGGGCUCAACCCAUGAACUGCUUUCAAAACUGUUUUUCUUGAGUAGUGCAGAGGUAGGCGGAAUUCCCGGUGUAGCGGUGGAAUGCGUAGAUAUCGGGAGGAACACCAGUGGCGAAGGCGGCCUACUGGGCACCAACUGACGCUGAGGCUCGAAAGUGUGGGUAGCAAACAGGAUUAGAUACCCUGGUAGUCCACACUGUAAACGAUGAUUACUAGGUGUUGGAGGAUUGACCCCUUCAGUGCCGCAGUUAACACAAUAAGUAAUCCACCUGGGGAGUACGACCG
rnacentral:rRNA from 1 species